rnacentral:RNase_P_RNA from 1 species
AAAGCAGGUUUUCGAUGGCCGCUGGUGCCUUAAACGGCACUAGAGGAAAGUCCGAGCUCCCCAGGAUGAGCGUAGCGGGUAAUACCCGUCCUCCCGCGGGGUUUUGCUUUGCAGAACCCAUGCAGGGGCGGAUCAGAGCCACAGAGACGAGUAACGAUUAUUGCUGUAACAUGGGAUUCUUGGGCCUGACGGCCUUUGGGAUUCCUGCAGUAAUCGGGAAGUGAAACGCGGCAAUCUCUACGCGGAGCAAGACCGAAUAGGCCCUGCCAUAAGAGUUCAUCCUGCUCUUCAGCAGCAGGGCGGGUAAGGUCGCUCUCUUUCCCGCAAGGGAAGAGGAUCACGCCAGCAAUGGCGUGGCUAGACAGAUGGCCAUCAAUGAGGCCUUUUGGCCCCAUUACAGAACUCGGCUUAUGAAAACCUGCUUUUUUA